rnacentral:tRNA from 2 species
GCCCGGAUAGCUCAGUCGGUAGAGCAACGGAUUGAAAAUCCGUGUGUCGGUGGUUCGAUUCCGCCUCCGGGCACCA